UACGAAGGGUGCAACCGUUGCUCGGAAUUAUUGGGCGUAAAGCGCACGUAGGCGGCUUUGCAAGUUCGAUGUGAAAUCCCUCGGCUCAACCAAGGAAGUGCAUCGAAAACUGCAGAGCUUGAGUAGUUAAGAGGAUCGCGGAAUUCCCGGUGUAGAGGUGAAAUUCGUAGAUAUCGGGAGGAACACCAGUGGCGAAGGCGGCGAUCUGGGAACAUACUGACGCUGAGGUGCGAAAGCGUGGGGAGCAAACAGG
rnacentral:rRNA from 1 species